GGAGGGAUGCCAGAGUGGUCGAAUGGGCUCGCCUGGAACGCGAGUAGGGGAGCAAUCCUCUCGGGAGUUCGAAUCUCCCUCCCUCCG
rnacentral:tRNA from 1 species